rnacentral:rRNA from 1 species
UGGGGAAUAUUGGACAAUGGGCGAAAGCCUGAUCCAGCAAUGCCGCGUGAGUGAUGAAGGCCUUAGGGUUGUAAAGCUCUUUUACCCGGGAUGAUAAUGACAGUACCGGGAGAAUAAGCCCCGGCUAACUCCGUGCCAGCAGCCGCGGUAAUACGGAGGGGGCUAGCGUUGUUCGGAAUUACUGGGCGUAAAGCGCACGUAGGCGGCUGUUCAAGUCAGAGGUGAAAGCCUGGAGCUCAACUCCAGAACUGCCUUUGAAACUAGAUAGCUAGAAUCAUGGAGAGGUGAGUGGAAUUCCGAGUGUAGAGGUGAAAUUCGUAGAUAUUCGGAAGAACACCAGUGGCGAAGGCGGCUCACUGGACAUGUAUUGACGCUGAGGUGCGAAAGCGUGGGGAGCAAACA